GGCUGCUGGCCUUCUAGGUGCUGUAUCCUGGCUGUGAUAUCCCUGCUAAAUGGAAGAGCCCUGUGGCUCAUUAGCUGAGCCUGCCUCCCUGGCUCUCCCCAGGCACCCGGUGCCGCUCUCCCAAGCAGGCCAGCUCAAAGCAAGAAGCAGCCUCUCUGACUUCCCGUGGGAAAGGGUGCCCCGGUGACCUGGAACAGACAAAAGGGUCUCUUGGAGAAUGGAGCAGUUAGCUGCCCAGGAUGAAAUGCUGUCAUCAGUGACCUGGAACCCUGAGAUCACAUGUGAAGAGGCCAAAGCUAACCUACUGAAGGAGGAGAGACAGCUGCACUUCAUACAAGCUGUGCCAGGUAAGAUUCCUAGACCCACCAGUCUACUCACCUCCAGAUAUAUGAAUGAGGCCAUCCUGGACAUUCCAGCCCAACAGAGCCAACCCAGACCAGAAAAACAACCGACCGAAUUGCUACAAGUAUAAAUAUUUAUUGUUUGAGUCCACUAAGUUUUGGAAUGGCUUGCAGUGAAAGCUACCUGAUAUAAUUGGGAAGUCAUUGAAGGUUUUUGGAGGUGGGAAGGGGGUAUAACUGAGGCUUUAAGAUUAAUCUGGAUAUAGUGUGCAUGAUUUAGAAGGAAAUUGUUUUAGCUGUUUUCUAACAGGAACAAGUAAAUCAAUCCUUUGCUCUG